GACGAACGCUGGCGGCGUGCCUAAUACAUGCAAGUCGAGCGAAUUGAUGGGAGCUUGCUCCCUGAUAUUAGCGGCGGACGGGUGAGUAACACGUGGGUAACCUGCCUGUAAGAUUGGGAUAACUCCGGGAAACCGGAGCUAAUACCGGAUAACAUUUCGAACCGCAUGGUUUGAAAUUGAAAGAUGGUUUCGGCUAUCACUUACAGAUGGACCCGCGGCGCAUUAGCUAGUUGGUGAGGUAACGGCUCACCAAGGCAACGAUGCGUAGCCGACCUGAGAGGGUGAUCGGCCACACUGGGACUGAGACACGGCCCAGACUCCUACGGGAGGCAGCAGUAGGGAAUCGUCCGCAAUGGACGAAAGUCUGACGGAGCAACGCCGCGUGAACGAUGAAGGCCUUCGGGUCGUAAAGUUCUGUUGUUAGGGAAGAACAAGUACCAGAGUAACUGCUGGUACCUUGACGGUACCUAACCAGAAAGCCACGGCUAACUACGUGCCAGCCGCCGCAGUAAAAC
rnacentral:rRNA from 1 species